CCCAUGAAGCCAAGGGCCAGAAGCACACGGAGGAUUCGAAAACGGACAUUUUCCUUCUGUGCUUAAACCAUUCCGUGAGCAGCUGGGUACCGAGGAAAUGAGCAGGUGAUUUCAGAUUUACGAAGCAGCAUCCCGACCCCCUAGGCAGAGCCUUUGAGAACAGAAGGUGGGAGGCUGACAGAGAUAGGUAGAUGUGGGCAUCUGAACCCAAAACAGUAGCUCUGAUUACAUAUGGACCCUUGAACCAGCUGCUAGAAAGGGUUGCCAUGGCGCCAGGAAACUGUCCCUCUCUCAGCACGGAGAAGCCAGGAGUGUCUCCAACCCAUCCCCCACCAUUCCCUUCUCUUGGCAACAAGAACAGAGAUGGGAAGAACCAAAAGUAGGAGAUGUGCAAAAAUGCUCACACUGAGACAGUAACGUCACAUUAAUUUUAUAACAAUCCCAAUACUGGCAAAGGAGUGUGGAACAUUAAACCAGAAACAAAUGAAAGCAGAAAUGUGUCGUGGUCACUUCCAUGCAGAAGCUUAAGGACCAGUGCAUGGUCUGCCAUAUUCUCUUUUCUCUCUGCUCACUGAUUGUUCCAAACCGAGGCUGCUCCUUCACCUUGGAAUGAAGACAAUGUGAAGCAAAGCUGGAGCUAAUAUUCAAUUGUCAUGAGGCAUGAUUGAGAAAUAAACAGUUGAUGUUAUAAGCCA